UACGGGGGGUGCGAGCGUUGUCCGGAAUCACUGGGCGUAAAGGGCGCGUAGGUGGCGUCGUAAGUCUGUGGUGAAAGCCCGGAGCUCAACUCCGGGUCUGCCGCGGAUACUGCGAGGCUUGAGUGCUGUAGAGGGGGGGUAGAAUGCCGGGUGUAGCGGUGGAAUGCGUAGAGAUCCGGCAGAACGACCGGUGGCGAAGGCGGCCCCCUGGGCAGUAACUGACACUGAGGCGCGACAGCGUGGGGGAGCAAACAGG
rnacentral:rRNA from 1 species